rnacentral:sRNA from 1 species
GUUUAGCCCUGAUUGUAAUGAAAAGCAUUGUGCAGUAAAAAGCUAUUUUUUCUUAUCUUAAAAAAGCGACCAAAGAAAGCUCUUUUUAAGAUUUAGAAAAAAAGAUUUUUGCAAGCAAUCUUGCAAUGGAAAGCAGGAUAAGCU